GGGAAAUACACCAGAGCGCUCUCUGACAGGGCAUCUGAGGUCGGAGGCUGCGGGCUCUACCCCGGGGCCGAUCCAGUUCAGGGAGGUCAGAAAGGCAGCUCGGAACGCGCCCAACCGGGACUGGAAACGUGUGAAACUCUCGGUUCAGCCCGAUUCCGCCUCGUCCAGGCAGCUUGUCUUGGGGGCACCCUAACCUCUCCGAACCUCAGUUUCCCCAUCUUGGGGUCACUGAAGCCGGAAGUUGUAGAAGCACCUAGGAAGCUACGGGGUCCUGCAUCCGGACCAGUUUCCGGCUUUGCGCUCCCCUGACUUGGCAGAAAGAAGAGCUGGACGAUGACUAGAAGGUUCCAGAAGACAUCAUGGGGAGACAUCUCAGGAAGGAAAAGUGAAUUAUCCACAGGAAUUCAGGGGCGGUGCUCCCCAUCGAAGGCUGGCAUCAGGAAAGACUCUGAGGUCAGAUCCAGACACGGGAUUGGAGGUGCUGAUAAACUCUGCUGCGGCACAGACUUUGGGGAGAAGACAGUAGACAUCUUAGCCUACACCUAAGUCUACCAGAAGUCCCACGUCCCAGCCUCGUCACACACCCACGGAUCCUGGGAAAUUCAGAGCUCAAAGGAAGCCUCCAAUGGGUUAACGUGUGGAAAAUUCCACAGAUACACUUUCUGAUGAAAGAUCACUCCUCUCUACUCCGCCCACCACCCCCCCUCACAACCAACUGCAGCUCCGCAGACAAGCCAGAGAAAAGAGAAGGGAAAUGUGAAAACAAUUCUGAAUUCAGCUGGUGUAUGUGGAAGUGCAAUAUUCCAAACACAAUUAAAACCCAAUCAGGGUCCGGAAAAGUGCUUAAAUGUCCCUGUCAAACAACAGACCACAUGUGGCGUAAGCAUCUCCCUGGGGACCCCUCCUUCAAGGGCUGUCGUGAUGGCAAUGAGGACCCCCACCCCAGCAGGACCCUCGUUAUCCCGCCCAAGCCUGAACCUCGGAGACCAGGUGUCCCUGGCCUAGGAUGGAGCCCUGGGCCAUCUCUGUUUUGUUUGUUGUUGAGUCCCCAGUCAGGGAUCGAACCGGGGUCCCUUGCGGUGAAAGUGCCAACUAUUGGACCACCAGGGAAGUCUGUGUUUCUGUUUUUAACUGUAGGUAGGGACCUCCCUGGUGGUCCAGUGGUGAAGACUUUGCCUUCCAAAGCAAAGGGCACAGGUUGGAUCCCUGGUCAGAGAGCUAGGAUCCCACAUGCCUCAGGGCCAAAAAACCAAAAGAUAAAACAGAAGCAGUGUUUUUUUUUUUUUCCAGCUUUCUUCUUUUUUUAUUUUAAAACAUGUUUUAAUUAAUUAAUUUUUUAAUUGAAGGAUAAUUACAUUGCAGAACUUUGUUGUUUUCUGAGAAGCAAUAGUGUAACAAAUUCAAGACUUUAAAAAUGGUCCAAAUUAAAAAAAAAACUUAAAAAACAACAAAAACGCAGUAGGCAAACACAUAUACGCACACACACACGUGGUUUUCGAAGAGCAGAGGUUGGCUGAAUUUCCACGCGCUUUCACUUAUUUUCAGGAAACAGUAGAAGUGGUUCACUUGUUCAAUCAACAAACACUUCCUUUGGGGCUGCUUCUGUGAGUCCAGCACUGGGCUACAUCAGGG
ensembl:lncRNA